AUGAUUAAGAAUUAUGAAGAGGGUGGGGCUAAUGCCAUUGACUUUGAUGUUAUGAAUGGUGUACUAAAAUUGAAAUGGUUAAGAUCUUUCAUUAGGAACAAAAAUUCCUUUUGGAACAUUAUUCCCAAUUUGAUUUUUGGCAAAAUGGGUGGAAUAGACUUUUUGUUACGUUGUGACUUUGAUUGCAGUUCGUUACCUGUUAAACUCUCAGCUUUCCAUCAGCAGGCCCUUCUGUACUGGAAAUUAAUCUAUAAACAUAACUUUACUCCUCACAAUACCCCUAUAUGGAACAACAGGUAUAUCCGUUUGUGUAGGAAAUCUGUGUACAUGGAUGAAUGGAGAUCUAAAGGGAUUUGGGCUGUAGCUCAUUUUAUGGAUGAGAAUGGGGUUUUAUUAAAACAUGAGACGUUUUGUGAGAAAUUUGAUGUAAGAUGUACUGCUAAGAGAUAUAAAUCCUUAAUAAAAGCCAUCCCAGUCCCUUUGAGAUCAAUGAUAAAAGAAGAUAUUGUGCACUCUAAAAUUUCUCCUGGACUGAGGCAGCUCUGCAUAGCUGGAGUUGAAUUUGAUGACAGCAGGUUUACAAACAAGGUGAUCGGGAAUAUUUUGAUAAAUGAAAUUUGCCCUAAUCCGGUUAAAAGAAAUUAUAUCCUUAAAGAAUUUGAGACCAUAGAGGUUAAGGCGAUAAGAAAAAAGUAUAUUUCACUUCCUCUUUCCCCUAAAGUAAAAGAGGUUCACUUUAAAAUCAUUAAUGAGGUUUAUCCAACCAAUGAAUUCUUAAGACGGAAAUUUAACUUAGAUGUGAACGCCUGCACAUUUUGUGAAAAUGAUAUUGAAAGUCUGGAUCACUUGUUUUUCUACUGUGAGUCAGUGCACUCCUUCUGGACUGACAUGUGGAGCUGGCUACAGUCCAGGAGAAUUCAGUUACCACAUUUAACGGUGACAGUAAUAAAAUUUGGAAUACUUGCUGAGAAUGCAGAUUUUGACUUGUUGAUUAGGACGUUUUUGUUAAUGGGAAAAUUUUUUAUUCAUAAAUGUAGAUAUUUUAAAGCUAAACCAUGUAUAAACAGAUGGCUGAAUGACUUUAAACUCUGGGCUAAAUCGCUGAAACUUGUGAAUAAUAAGAAAGCUCAUAAGCUUGUUGUUUUAUUUAACGAAUUUGAUCUAUGUUAA
rnacentral:lncRNA from 1 species